UGCAAAAUUUUUGGACUCUGA
rnacentral:piRNA from 1 species